rfam:Nadsonia fulvescens var. elongata DSM 6958 unplaced genomic scaffold NADFTscaffold_7, whole genome shotgun sequence.
GGUUGUGUAGUGUAGUGGUUAUCACAUCGGUUUCUGAUUCCGAUAACCCCAGUUCGAAUCCGGGCACGACCU